ACCGCUUAAGAGUUAAGCGGAAGUGAAGAAAUUGGCCCUUAGUGAUUUAGGUAUCCAAUGAUUCAGUGAUUAGGUGGAUGUGUGAUUAACUGAUUGAUCAAUUCAUUGAUAAUGUAAAUGAGUGUUAACCGUUCCAUAUGUUUUUCUGUUUUUCCCUCGCGUGCCGCACAGCAUCAACUUUUUCGGUUGUUCUUUUUUUAUUUAUUGUUUUUUAUUUAUUAUAUUCCGAAGCUUUUAUUAUAGCCUUUUUAAUGUUUUUAAUGCAUUGAUUCAUGUCCACCUUCUUGCUUCAGUGUAUCUUAUCUUGAUUCUGUCAAAAACGAGUAGAAAAAAAAAUACAUUGUUGAUAAACGUAACAUUUUUUUUCUUUUUCAUAAAAUUUGUGAAGUUUCAAGUAUUUACUCGAGCCACUGAAGACCUGCUGAAGACGGAUUACUGUUAACCAAUCUAAAAGUGACAGUUUUUAAUGGAAAUAGGACAUAACUUUGCUGUCAUAUAAUUUAUCCCACACGACACCAUACCAUUUCUGCCCUUCCGGCCCCUCCUUAUAUUAUAAUAUAAGCUUUCGCGCGAGAAGAAAUCCUAUAGGACCUAUAUAAUGCUAUACCGGCGUUGAAGCAUUUCUGUAGCUCGAGGACCCAAAGAUACACCGCCACCGAGUUGGAUUGGAACCUACGGAGAACGGAUUCAAAAGUGUCACCGGUAGAAAGCGGAGCAGUAUACAACCUGUCCUAUAGGAUAUGUUUUAAGGAGUAUGAACAUAAACCUUCUGCGUAAUCUUGGCGGAGGACUAGCUGAAACUUUUUCUGGUGGAAAUGAGCGCUCUGGUGGGGAGGACAACGAAGGAGGAGGCUUCGACUGAUUGAAGGAUCAUAGUAGACACAGACACAGUUGCGACCGGAAAUAUGACGAUAGGUGAGAUAAUGAGCAGGAGUACAGUCAUGAAAAGAAUCGUUAUCGUCAACGCAGAAUAUGUUCUCGUAUCGCGAAUACAGAACCACAAUCGAAAUGAAUCAUGACCACGAGGUUAAGGAAGGCAUUCUGAAGCUCCAUGAAGGCAAGAUUAAAAUCAAGGUAACCACUGGACGAUUUCCCGGACUACAGUGACGGUUUACCGGACCAUCAGGCGCAAACCAGAGAUGGAAAAGAGGAAAAGUAUCACCCGCACGAAAUUCAAUGUCGGCAACCGGUCUGAAAAUUAGAGGUACCGCUGUGAGAUGUAAAUAAAAGUGGCGUACUAGUGCAAUUUACAAUUAUAACUAAUUCAGAAGUACAUUUUAAUGGCAAAGUUUCUGAAGGUAUCGAUGAUGUACAAACUUUCAUGGACUUGAAUGAUAUCGAUUAUUCCCGGCUGAGAUUGAAGACCAAAUUAAUUAAAGCAAUUCAACGUAUCCAAACUGAUAUUUCGAAUGGGCCUGCAAUUGAAGAAUACAUUGUAGAGCAACUGGAUGAUUUAGAAAACGAAAAUGAAAGAAGUGGUGACAUCGGAGGAAGAAAUACUGAAGAUGACCAGGACACUGAUGACGAUUGUUCUGAUGCUACUGACGAAAAUCCGUACCAUGGUAUUCGGCUUGAGAAGUCGUCCAUCAGCAUUCCAAAAGAACCUAAUAGCAUUGUCUCUAGUCGAAACUUAUCCGAUUUUGCGUUCAAGUAACAAUGAUGUACCUCAAGCAUUGUGGUUUCAUCAGCAUGCAAGAGGGCUCCAUAGACAUUCUGGAAGACUGCACUAUCAUCUUGAAUACCUUAUUCGCAAAUCAGCAAAUCAGGUGUUUUUGAAAAUAACCAAGUUACGUAAUUAAUGGAUCUUUUUCUCUAGAUAAAUAAACUCCACAGCGGUUAUUGUAGCCGCAUAUAUAUUUUUACGUUUUAAAUAGCCAAUGUUAAUUCAUAAGUGUUUUGAUUUUAGAUUGGCGAAAUGAAGUUCAUCUGCCCCACACCAAAAAUAUAUAUAGAGUCACGUCAGUCAGUCACGCGCGCAGAGUUGUGGGUAAAGACUUUUAAAGAUCGAGAUCGAGUCCGCCAAGCUGGAGAGUUUAACAAAUAUCUACUCGAGUUUCCGGUAUCCACUUGCUUCGAUGGUCAAUUGCUCAAGCUUGACUUCCAAAAGCUCUACCCCGACCCUCCAGAAUUCUGGGUCAAAUUUGAAAAUUUACAAACCAAGGUGUUGCGGACAUAUCCAUCUAUGCUGAAGCAUGUUCAAAACGGUGACAAAAUUUUUCGUUUUCAUAAUGGCAAAUUUGUUGGAAAUCAACACAUUAUCGACGACGGGAGAA